AGUGAACGCUGGCGGUAGGCCUAACACAUGCAAGUCGAACGGCGGCACAGUAAGAGCUUGCUCUUACGGGUGGCGAGUGGCGGACGGGUGAGGAAUACAUCGGAAUCUACUUUUUCGUGGGGGAUAACGUAGGGAAACUUACGCUAAUACCGCAUACGACCUACGGGUGAAAGCAGGGGAUCUUCGGACCUUGCGCGAUUGAAUGAGCCGAUGUCGGAUUAGCUAGUUGGCGGGGUAAAGGCCCACCAAGGCGACGAUCCGUAGCUGGUCUGAGAGGAUGAUCAGCCACACUGGAACUGAGACACGGUCCAGACUCCUACGGGAGGCAGCAGUGGGGAAUAUUGGACAAUGGGCGCAAGCCUGAUCCAGCCAUACCGCGUGGGUGGAGAAGGCCUUCGGGUUGUAAAGCCCUUUUGUUGGGAAAGAAAAGCAGCAGGUUAAUACCCCGCUGUUCUGACGGUACCCAAAGAAUAAGCACCGGCUAACUUCGUG
rnacentral:rRNA from 1 species